GACGAACGCUGGCGGCGUGCUUAACACAUGCAAGUCGAACGGAAAGGCCCUGCUUUUGUGGGGUGCUCGAGUGGCGAACGGGUGAGUAACACGUGAGUAACCUGCCCUUGACUUUGGGAUAACUUCAGGAAACUGGGGCUAAUACCGGAUAGGAGCUCCUGCUGCAUGGUGGGGGUUGGAAAGUUUCGGCGGUUGGGGAUGGACUCGCGGCUUAUCAGCUUGUUGGUGGGGUAGUGGCUUACCAAGGCUUUGACGGGUAGCCGGCCUGAGAGGGUGACCGGCGACAUUGGGACUGAGAUACGGCCCAGACGCCUACGGGAGGCAGCAGUGGGGAAUAUUGCAGAGUGGGCGGAAGCCUGAUGCAGCAACGCCGCGUGCGGGAUGACGGCCUUCGGGGUGUAAACCGCUUUCGCCUGUGACGAAGCGUGAGUGACGGUAAUGGGUAAAGAAGCACCGGCUAACUACGUG
rnacentral:rRNA from 1 species